rnacentral:tRNA from 1 species
UUCCUAUAAGUAUAUAAAAGUAUAGUUGAUUUCCAAUCAAUUGGUCUACUAAUAAGUAGAUAGGAAA